UAUAUAAAAACUUAUUUUAUAUGUUCUGUUCCUCUAGAGAACCCUGAUUGAUACAUAAGGGCACAGACUUUAAGUUUUAAAGGUCUUGUAUUACAUUUUAAAAAUUAAAUUCUUUGGAGAAGUUUUGCUAUGACAUGUAGGUUAAAACUGUACUUUGAAAACUACCAGAGAAUUGUUUGUUUGAUGUAUAUUAAGUGUUUGUCAGCCAUGUUACAUUCUAGGAAGGCAGAGAAGUGACAUGCCAGCAAAGGAAGGUAUAACUGAGUAAAUUAAUAAAUGCACAGAGUACUUAACACGAGUGAAGACCUAUCAAGACAUCAGGGAAAUGAUCUGGAAGCGGGGGCGGGGUGUGUGUGUGGGGGGUGUUAGUUGUAUUCCAGAACAUGUCUGAAGCUGGCCUGGCUGUGUGCCAUGCUGGGGACCAGAAGCAAGGGAGGCCUGAGAGUGCAGUGCCUGGAGACUCCCACAAAGAGUUGGUGGGUUCUGUAGUGUGUUGUGUCCUUUCCCUCCCCGUCCCCUGCUGAGCUGGAUUUCUUUCUAAAGAAGCUGUGAAAAAGAGAAGGAGUGUUAAGUGUGUAGUGUGUGUGACUUACAUGUACAGAAGUUGUUUUUUGUGUUUGUAGGGUUUAUAAAGGAGCGCACAAGACCUGCAGAUACUUGUGACAAUCCAGGAGGGAGGUGGAAGGAAUUCGUGAAGUUCCACAUUAUUUUAUGGGUAGGGUUUUAUAGAUGGCUUUGAUGAGGACAGUGAGAGAAAGGGAGGCACCAGGUGUAAGUUACAGCUCUGAGGAGAAAGGGUUCCCUAGUACAAGUGUUGCAGCUCUGAAGAGAAAGGUGUCUGGACAGGAGGGAGCCAAUGAAUACCACAUAGUCACACUGUACAACAAACCUCAGAGAAGAGAUUUAUUGUGAAAGACACAACUAAGUGGCUUCCUCUUCCUGAAUGAGAAGCAGCAAAGAGAUCUGACCAGGAGUCCGGCUUUAUAUAGGCUUUCUUGGGGGUUGGAGGAGAUGAGGCAGUCCAGGUGGCUUGGGAUUGGUGGAAUUCUGUGGCCUGGUCUUGGGAAGCUCAGGGAUUGUUGAGAUUCUGUGGCCCGAUCUUGGGCUAUUUUUUUUUUUUUUUUUCCUUUGUAGGGUAGAGCUUGGCCACCAGAGUCUUAAGGGGCUAGAAGUGGCUGUUACACUUUGGGUGGGGGAUACAGGAGUGGGAGGUGGGGGUGGCAGGUCUUGGCCACUGAGACCUGGAAGGGUUUGCACCAGGUCUAUAAUGCAGACCAAUGGUUUCUAAAUGCCAUUUUGGCAGUGUGCAUGUGUGUCCUGUGUUAGUAGCUUCCUGUUGGCUCCCACUUUGGUUGAGUCUUUAGAACUUCAAAUGCCACUUUGAAUCCCCAUGCUUAGUUGUCACCUCCAGUUUCUUUGGCUGUUCUGCUUGGGAGAAGGCCAUCUUCCUUUGAGGGUUGGCACCUAGUAGGAGAAAUGUUUUACAUUACUCAUUAUGCUAAGUGCAGUCCGUUGAGGUGAGAGCUCUGCAUGCUCUCCUGUCCCAGGGAUGCUCAGGGGUCUGAGAGGAACUGCCCUUCUCUACAGGGGCACUAUGGGCACUGGAUUGAAGGGAGCCCUGGUGUCCAGGGGCCUAGCUCUUCCACACCCUGACGAGGCUGCUGUGAAGGGACAGUGCUGCUCUCAGAGAUGGCUCAGGAGUCUGCAGACCUUGCUUCUGACUGUCAGUCUUGGCUGCAGAAGCUUUCUGCAUGGGAACAGGCCUCUUCUGAGGAAACCCAGAAGGACACUUGUCUUCACUUGUCCGGGUUCCAGGAGUUCCUGAGGCAGAUGUAUGAAAUCUUGAAGGAGAUGGAUUCUGAUGCAAUCCUGGAAAGGUUCCCCACAAUUGGUCAACUGUUGGCAAAAGCUUGUUGGAAUCCUCUCAUCUUAGCAUAUGAUGAAAGCCAAAAAAUUGUAAUAUGGUGCUUAUGUUGUCUGAUGAACAAAGAACCUCGGACUUCUGCAGAGUCAGGACUUAACUCGUGGAUCCGGGUCUGGGCUGUGCUGUUGGAGUUGCAAGCAGAGUUUCAGGGUUUGUUAUCUCAUGUACUUUCUGCAUUCAGAUUCGACAUGAAAGAAGUUUGUCUUUUUACCAAAAGUCUUGGAUAUGAGUCUAUUGAUUACUAUCCUAGUUUGCUUAAAAAUAUGGUUUUGUCAUUAGUGUCUGAGCUCAGAGAGAGUCAUCUUAAUGGACUGAGCACUCAAAGUCGGAUGGCUCCUGAGCGCAUGAUGUCCCUGUCAGAAGUUUGUGUCCCUCUUGUCACUCUGCCUGAUAUGGAACCCCUGGUAGAGGCUCUACUCACCUACCAUGGACAUGAGCCCCAGGAAGUCCUGGCUCCUGAGUUCUUCGAAGCUGUAAAUGAGGCCUUCUUGUCGGAAAAAAUUGUUCUACCCACGUCCUCUGUGGUCAGCCUCUGGUUUCGGCAUCUCCCCAGUCUUGAAAAAGCAACGCUGCAUCUUUUUGAAAAGCUUUUCUCCAGCAAGAUAAUUUGCCUGAGAAGGAUGGAGUGCUGUAUAAGAGAGUCAUUCCUGCCUCAAGCAGCCUGCCAACCUGCCAUCUUCAGAAUUGUUGAUGAAAUGUUCAGGUUUGUGCUGCUGGAAACUGACGGAGCCCCAGAAGUACUAGCUGCUCUUCAGGUUUUCACAUCGUGCUUGGUAGAAGCUCUGAAAAAAGAAAACAAGCAGGUACCUCACCCGGGGGAUGCUGCUUAGUCACUUCAGAGUGAAGCCGGCUACUGCUGCUACAGGCAUUUGCUGACGUUUGCCCUCAGGACCUACUUUCCUUACGGUGCUCCAUGUCUUGCUGCAGCGCUGUCCCAGCACCCUGAAGCAAUCCCACAGGGACACCGGCUCCAGCCUCUGCUGCACAUUUCCCAACUCCUCAGAGAAGCAGUUGAAGACUGUACUCGUGGGUCUCCGCGAAAUCCCUUUGAGAGCUGGUUUUUGUUUGUUCACUUUGGAGGAUGGGUUGACCUGGCUGUGGCAGAGUUACUGCUGAGGGAGGAAGCUGAGCCUCCUGCUGGCCUGCUGUGGCUCUUGGUGUUCUAUUACAGCCCACAGGAUGGGAGUCAGCAGAGAGAGCAGAGCAUGGUGGAGCUGAAGGUAUUAAUCAACCGUCUCCUGAUGCUGCUCAGAAGCGGCCCCCUCUCAGCUACUGAUCUGCAGGAAGCAGCUGAGAGUCCCAGUGGAGACCCCAGACCACCUGUAUGUGGACAGCUGGUCAGACGCCUUCUUCUUAGUCUCUUGCUCUGGACCCCAGAAGGCCAUGCAAUUGUCUGGGAAGCUGUCACCCAUAUGGCCCACACGGAUGCUGUAAUCCAUGAGAUUAUUGGUUUUCUUGACCAGACCUUGUACAGAUCACAACAUCUUUGUGUUGAAGCCUCGAGAAAACUGGCCAGAGACCUCCUAAAGGAGCUGCAAGCCCAGGUCUAGCAGGUAGUACAGAAUGUGGGCACCUGCGGUGAAGCUCCCUCAGUGGAUGAGAUGCUGUUUCUGAGGCAAGAACAAGUGAGAGUGGUUGAACAUAUUCGUGCCUUGGCCUGAUGGAGUGAUGUGUACCACCUCCCACGCUGUACUGCCUGGCCCCGGCGGUCCAUGAGUAUUAUGAAGGGAAGGGCCCAGACUGCCUGUUAGGUUCCAGCCAUUCAUAAGAGCUAGCACUGGCUGGUGUGCUGACUCUCUUUAUCCUUCCCUCUCUAGUGAAGGUGUGGGGGAUGCCCAGUAGCAGGAGACAUGAGCCCUGUAGUGGAUGAGGCUGUACCGUACAGAUGAGCACCUGCCUCACCGGUGACUGUCGCUCAGUGAGGCCUUUGUUCCUCAGUGCAGAAAUGCUGCAAGGCACCCACUAUAGUGGAAGGAAUGAGAGGUGGCCAGAGAAGGGUCAUUCCUUCCUCCUCCUCUAAACCCCCAAAAGGCAAAACACAUCUGCUUCCCUAUGUCUAGUAAACAGGAUUUGGAAACUGAGAGUGAGUCCUUGUCCUCCUGCACUUGCUGUGGGUGGGGAUGACGGGCAUGGCUGUUGUUUUCUAGUGAGAAUAUAUACAAGUGAGCAGUGUGUGGGCUGUGACCCUCCUGCACAUCUGCUAUGAGAACCCUUGCCCCAUGUGAAAUCAGCUUCAAUUCUCACAGUAGGACAUUUGAUGACUGCACUCAGGCUGUCUAGGGGGGUUGUGGCAUAAAGUCAUGAAGGCCUGGGUUUUCUCUUGCAUCUGCACAUCCAGGCUUUGCCGGGCAAACACUGACUGGCAGUGGAUUCGUCUUUUACCCACCUGCUGAUGGGCUCACAGUGGAGUGGAGCUGGACUUUCUACUUUUUCAUUCUGAAUAAAAAGUUGUACUUAAUUUUA